CACCAUUUAAUUCUUGGCAUUCCAGAUUCUUUUAUAGAUGUAGGUGGUUGGAGAUUGGGUUUGAAGUCCCAUAAGCUUCUCUCCUUCACUUUUAAAUGUCUGUCAGCUUUACUGUGGGGCUGUGAAUCCAUCAUACCUCUAAUAACCGUCUAUGUCUUCCCCAAAUCCCUGUUUCUCUCCUGCCUGUAGCCCACAGGGUAAGAGGGUGGUCCAUUUCAUAUUCAGAAGCUGAAUAGACUUCCAGUUGAAUACUGGAAAUGGAACAGCACUCUCCCAACACACCACAUCUGACAAUUGCCAGCCACUUUGUAGGAUCUGGACUAGCAAUAAGUGCCUUCCUGUACCUUCCAAAACAAGGGUGGAGUUGGAAGAUUCAGAUUGAACACCCAAGGGACUGCUGUCGCCGCCUUUCCCCCAGCAACUGCUAUCUGAGCUUGUUGUUCUGCUUCACAUUUGAACUGAGCCUAGACACAAAGGAUCUUCACUGCGAACAGAAAGGAAUCCCAUGGAAGACUUCCCUGAUUCUUCUUCUGAAGCCUGGAGCCCAACUAAUUUAAUGAGGAUUGAUGGACAAGUUAGUAGCCUCAGAAACUAGAGCUUGUUUGCUUAAAUCAAGAUGUGGCUUGUUUAUGACUUGCAUAUUAAUGAAGUGGAGAUGAUAACAAUUUUACUGCUUCACUGUAAAUGCUUUGAUAUAUUGUAUAUUUUCUGAGGUAUGUUUCAUUGCUUUGUUUUAUAAAUGCCUAAUUCCAUUAAAAUGACCUGAUA
rnacentral:lncRNA from 1 species